GGCCUUUUGAAUUUAAUAUAAGGUCUGGCCUGCCCAGUGAUAAAAUUUAACGGCCGCGGUAUAUUGACCGUGCAAAGGUAGCAUAAUCAUUAGUCUUUUAAUAGAGGGCUGGAAUGAAAGGUUCAACGAGGAAUUGACUGUCUCAUUUUAUUUGUUUUAAAAUUUAAUUUUUUAGUUAAAAAGCUAAAAUAUUAUUGGAAGACGAGAAGACCCUAUAGAUCUUUACAUAAUACUAUUUUACUUUUUUUAUAUCAACAUCUUUAUUUAAUAUUAUGUUUUGUUGGGGUGACAAAAAUAUAGAUUUAACUUUUUUAUUUAUAUAACAUUGAUUUAUGAACAUUAGAUCCAUUAUUAUUGAUUGUUAGAUUAAGUUACCUUAGGGAUAACAGCGUAAUCCUCCUCCAGAGUUCAUAUUUACAGGACGGGCUUGCGACCUCGAUGUUGGAUUAAGAUGAUAGUUAGGUGUAGCCGCUUAAUGUAUAGGUCUGUUCGACCUUUAAAUUCUU
rnacentral:rRNA from 1 species